UUAAGCGACUAAGCGUACACGGUGGAUGCCCUGGCAGUCAGAGGCGAUGAAGGACGUGCUAAUCUGCGAUAAGCGUCGGUAAGGUGAUAUGAACCGUUAUAACCGGCGAUUUCCGAAUGGGGAAACCCAGUGUGAUUCGUCACACUAUCAUUAACUGAAUCCAUAGGUUAAUGAGGCGAACCGGGGGAACUGAAACAUCUAAGUACCCCGAGGAAAAGAAAUCAACCGAGAUUCCCCCAGUAGCGGCGAGCGAACGGGGAGCAGCCCAGAGCCUGAAUCAGUGUGUGUGUUAGUGGAAGCGUCUGGAAAGGCGCGCGAUACAGGGUGACAGCCCCGUACACAAAAAUGCACAUGCUGUGAGCUCGAUGAGUAGGGCGGGACACGUGGUAUCCUGUCUGAAUAUGGGGGGACCAUCCUCCAAGGCUAAAUACUCCUGACUGACCGAUAGUGAACCAGUACCGUGAGGGAAAGGCGAAAAGAACCCCGGCGAGGGGAGUGAAAAAGAACCUGAAACCGUGUACGUACAAGCAGUGGGAGCACGCUUAGGCGUGUGACUGCGUACCUUUUGUAUAAUGGGUCAGCGACUUAUAUUCUGUAGCAAGGUUAACCGAAUAGGGGAGCCGAAGGGAAACCGAGUCUUAACUGGGCGUUAAGUUGCAGGGUAUAGACCCGAAACCCGGUGAUCUAGCCAUGGGCAGGUUGAAGGUUGGGUAACACUAACUGGAGGACCGAACCGACUAAUGUUGAAAAAUUAGCGGAUGACUUGUGGCUGGGGGUGAAAGGCCAAUCAAACCGGGAGAUAGCUGGUUCUCCCCGAAAGCUAUUUAGGUAGCGCCUCGUGAAUUCAUCUCCGGGGGUAGAGCACUGUUUCGGCAAGGGGGUCAUCCCGACUUACCAACCCGAUGCAAACUGCGAAUACCGGAGAAUGUUAUCACGGGAGACACACGGCGGGUGCUAACGUCCGUCGUGAAGAGGGAAACAACCCAGACCGCCAGCUAAGGUCCCAAAGUCAUGGUUAAGUGGGAAACGAUGUGGGAAGGCCCAGACAGCCAGGAUGUUGGCUUAGAAGCAGCCAUCAUUUAAAGAAAGCGUAAUAGCUCACUGGUCGAGUCGGCCUGCGCGGAAGAUGUAACGGGGCUAAACCAUGCACCGAAGCUGCGGCAGCGACGCUUAUGCGUUGUUGGGUAGGGGAGCGUUCUGUAAGCCUGUGAAGGUGUACUGUGAGGUAUGCUGGAGGUAUCAGAAGUGCGAAUGCUGACAUAAGUAACGAUAAAGCGGGUGAAAAGCCCGCUCGCCGGAAGACCAAGGGUUCCUGUCCAACGUUAAUCGGGGCAGGGUGAGUCGACCCCUAAGGCGAGGCCGAAAGGCGUAGUCGAUGGGAAACAGGUUAAUAUUCCUGUACUUGGUGUUACUGCGAAGGGGGGACGGAGAAGGCUAUGUUGGCCGGGCGACGGUUGUCCCGGUUUAAGCGUGUAGGCUGGUUUUCCAGGCAAAUCCGGAAAAUCAAGGCUGAGGCGUGAUGACGAGGCACUACGGUGCUGAAGCAACAAAUGCCCUGCUUCCAGGAAAAGCCUCUAAGCAUCAGGUAACAUCAAAUCGUACCCCAAACCGACACAGGUGGUCAGGUAGAGAAUACCAAGGCGCUUGAGAGAACUCGGGUGAAGGAACUAGGCAAAAUGGUGCCGUAACUUCGGGAGAAGGCACGCUGAUAUGUAGGUGAAGCGACUUGCGCAUGGAGCUGAAAUCAGUCGAAGAUACCAGCUGGCUGCAACUGUUUAUUAAAAACACAGCACUGUGCAAACACGAAAGUGGACGUAUACGGUGUGACGCCUGCCCGGUGCCGGAAGGUUAAUUGAUGGGGUUAGCGCAAGCGAAGCUCUUGAUCGAAGCCCCGGUAAACGGCGGCCGUAACUAUAACGGUCCUAAGGUAGCGAAAUUCCUUGUCGGGUAAGUUCCGACCUGCACGAAUGGCGUAAUGAUGGCCAGGCUGUCUCCACCCGAGACUCAGUGAAAUUGAACUCGCUGUGAAGAUGCAGUGUACCCGCGGCAAGACGGAAAGACCCCGUGAACCUUUACUAUAGCUUGACACUGAACAUUGAGCCUUGAUGUGUAGGAUAGGUGGGAGGCUUUGAAGUGUGGACGCCAGUCUGCAUGGAGCCGACCUUGAAAUACCACCCUUUAAUGUUUGAUGUUCUAACGUUGACCCGUAAUCCGGGUUGCGGACAGUGUCUGGUGGGUAGUUUGACUGGGGCGGUCUCCUCCUAAAGAGUAACGGAGGAGCACGAAGGUUGGCUAAUCCUGGUCGGACAUCAGGAGGUUAGUGCAAUGGCAUAAGCCAGCUUGACUGCGAGCGUGACGGCGCGAGCAGGUGCGAAAGCAGGUCAUAGUGAUCCGGUGGUUCUGAAUGGAAGGGCCAUCGCUCAACGGAUAAAAGGUACUCCGGGGAUAACAGGCUGAUACCGCCCAAGAGUUCAUAUCGACGGCGGUGUUUGGCACCUCGAUGUCGGCUCAUCACAUCCUGGGGCUGAAGUAGGUCCCAAGGGUAUGGCUGUUCGCCAUUUAAAGUGGUACGCGAGCUGGGUUUAGAACGUCGUGAGACAGUUCGGUCCCUAUCUGCCGUGGGCGCUGGAGAACUGAGGGGGGCUGCUCCUAGUACGAGAGGACCGGAGUGGACGCAUCACUGGUGUUCGGGUUGUCAUGCCAAUGGCACUGCCCGGUAGCUAAAUGCGGAAGAGAUAAGUGCUGAAAGCAUCUAAGCACGAAACUUGCCCCGAGAUGAGUUCUCCCUGACUCCUUGAGAGUCCUGAAGGAACGUUGAAGACGACGACGUUGAUAGGCCGGGUGUGUAAGCGCAGCGAUGCGUUGAGCUAACCGGUACUAAUGAACCGUGAGGCUUAACCUU
rnacentral:rRNA from 1 species